AACGCAUCUUGCGCCCUUUGGUAUUCCGAAGGGCAUGCCUGUUUGAGUGUCAUGAAUCUCUCAAACUCGAAAAGUUUUAUUACUUGAGAGUUUGGAUUUGGGGGUUUGCUGGCGUAACGUUAGCUCCCCUUAAAUGUAUUAGCUUGGGUCUUGUAUGUUGGAUCCUUGGUGUGAUAAUUAUCUACGCCAUGAUGUCCCUUUGAGCCCUGCUUCUAACCGUCUCCUUUGUUGAGACAAUUUACUUUGACAUCUGGCCUCAAAUCAGGUAGGACUACCCGCUGAACUUAA
rnacentral:misc_RNA from 1 species